UCUUCCCUCGCAAGUGUUGACAGUCCUACUGCACAAAGUAAAGGCCUCAAAAUUCAGGCAGGCCAUAUUUUACUGCAAUCAACAACUCUAGUAACAUUACAUUCAGGGUAGAUACUUGUUUUUGUGCUCCUGGGACACGAAAUAGCAAGGGAGAUUAAGGCUAAUGGAAGUAGGAAGAAACUGUCUAGGAGGUAAACAGGUCAAUUUAAUCCUGAAAAGAUGUUUGAAAAGGGAGAAAAUUAUUUUGUCACUGAAAACUAUAAAACAGAAAACCCUAACAUAAUUCAGCCCAGAAUCAUACAGAUUGCAUUUUCCCUUAGCUUUGCAGGUGACACACAUAUAAUUGCUCUUCUCUGAGAAGCAGCUUAGCACAGCAGAUGCUACCCAUGGUUGGCAGGGACCUACAGCCAGACUGGCACCAGUAGUAAAGCUCUGGAAAGACUUUUGGCCAGUGGUAUAAGCUAUACACCUUCAAUACAGUUUUAUCAAUAAGGCUGGCAUGUGAUCUUCAUCUUUCUGACUCCUCAGAACUGAAUGAGAAUAGAAGGGUGUUACUUACUGGCCUCUGAAAACCUCAGUGAGGCGUGGUGAUAAGAAAGGUGAAGAAGGAAUUGAUGAACUGCAAGUUCAUUCUUGGUAGGCUGACAGACAACAGGAGCCAGUUAUAACAGCUGAAGCCCUAGACCAGAAAGAGUGGCUUUAAUUAGCUAAUGAGCUGCUGGCUGCUCUGGGGCAAGUUAGGAAGGGGGGACCUAUCACAUGGCAUUUAGCAUUCUUAUUACAAUCCUGUAAUGAGGGCAAGGUGUCAGGUGUCUCCUUUCUUCAAACUACACUUGAAGGCGACUGAGCUAUAAGCUCUGUUACCACUUAGUGAUGGUCUGACUUUCCAGAAUCUUCUCUGCCUGCUUUUAGCUGCUGUUUGAAAACUUCAGACAGGGAACUUUGAAGCCCCUCAGAAAGUUCCGUGCGCAGAGAGUAUGGUCAAAGCAAACAAGCACAAUAUAAACCUUUCCUGCCAUUUCCAAGUAUAAGCAGAUCCAAAAAGCCUCAGAAGCAGCCUCACUGCUUGCUUCUGAAGCAUAGGCAGCACCUCAGUCUCCAAAUGACACGAAAGGAAAACCUGAUUACCUACCCUUACCAAUUUGCUGAAAAGUUAUCUAUAGCCCUCCCUGGCACAAGGAACCUACACCCAAACCAUGCCCAGGACUUCAAAGAAACUGAUCUUCCUGAGAGAAAAUAUUCUUGUGCCUUUUCCUCUUCUUAUAUAAAACAGUGAUCAGCCUCACCAAUGAGCUGCUCAGGACCUGAAAUCUACAAUGCUCAAGUCAGAAGGAGCUUAGACAACUAUAUUCAUCUCUAGUUGUACGCAACAGAUAUGGACUUUAGGUAACUUAAGUAAUGAGGAUAUUCUGGGAGUUGUGUUGUGGCUCAGUUGGUUAAGAAUCCAGCUAGUAUCUAUGAGGAUGCAGAUUCAAUCCCCGGCUUUGCUCGGUGGGUUAAGGAGCUAUAGUAUAGGCUGCUGGCGUGGCUUGGAUCUGGUGUUCUGUGGCUAUGGGGUAGGCCGGCAGCUGCAGCUCCAAUUUGACCCCUAGCCUGGGAACUUCUAUAUGCCCAAAUAAAUAAAUAAAUAAAUAAAUAAAUUCUGAAAAGCUAUGGGGUUGCUCACAAGAUUGAAGGAAAAUCUAGAGAACCAAAUUUGGAAAGACAGGUAGAAGGUUUUGCUGCUGGUUGAACCCUGAACCCACAGCUGGAAUGAUGAAUUUCAACAACUUCUCUCUACUUGGUUCACUCUAUUCAAUAUUCAAAGUCCUAGGAGAGAGAGAAACCAAUCAACAAAGCUUAGGGCCUACCUGGCCACUUGUUAUACCUGGCCUAUAAGAGGAAGGUCGUAGGAACUGAGAUAGGAAGGUCUCCAUUAGCUGUCAUAAUGAACUGGAAAGUCCUGAGACUUGCCUACCUACAACGACUGCAUACAAAGGAAGGAAGUAAAUUCCCAAGAAGAAAACUGAAGUGCUCUUAGGAAGGGAUAAUGCAUGCUAGAUAGAAAUAAAUAUAAAAUGUCCUUCUCAGGAAUGUUUAAGCCAAUUUUCUUCUUAUACAUUUAUCUAGAAAGAUAAAAUAAAUUUUAAAGGUCAAAGAGCAAGUUUGAGGUAGAUAUGAAACAGAAAUUCAGACAACUCUACCUGAGGUGUGGCCUAUGGACCACAGCACCUCAUCUCCUGAGAAAUGCAGACUCCCAGGCAGCACCCAGAACAACUGAGCCAGAAUCUGCAUUUUCAACAAGUUCUUGGGCAAUUCACAUGUGCACUAAAGUUUGAGAAUCACUGAUCUCUCUUUAUAGAUCUCAAACUUUGUUGCCACCCAAUGAUAGCUGAACCCAGGUACUCCACAUCUGAACUUGAUCUAUGAUGGUCUUUUCCUCAAUUCACAAGAAAAAAAAAAAUGGCAUAAUUUUUUCUUCAUCAUUUUCUAGCCACUGCAACCUACUUCCAUGUACUAGUUAGUACACCCAGACAGAGGGCAGCUUAUGUAGUCACGGAAGUUUAACUCUAGGGUGUGCACUUAAGCCAGACAAUAAGGGAAGGAAUUCUUAAACUCAAGACUUUACAAAAGCAUUGCCCAACUAUGAAAUAAGAAUCAAAAACCUAUAGUGAUAUGAAUUGUUCCAUGGCACUUAGGUGCAAGAAACAUCAUAUUUCUUUAUUGUUCUAAAUUAAAUUAAAUCUUUUUCAAUCCCACCUGGUGGGCAGAAAUCUCAUUGGAGUUAUUCAACCUUCCCUUGCUUGAAUCCCAGGAGGAUUAAGUAGUUUUAUAAAAAUCAUGAAAGGGCUCUUUGACCUCAGUUGGCCAUGACCACUGACUUUGCCCUCAGCCCUUCUACUCAGGUUCACUGCUCUGGGAGGCGUCGUGCUUGUUAUCUGAAGACCUUCUCUCUCUGUAUCAGAAAGCUGUGGGGUUAAGCUCCCCAUCUUCCCCACUAAGGUGUUGUGCUUUGUUUUGUAUUGGUGGAAGUGUGCUUUUGAUACUGAGAUUUUAUUACAUACAUAUAGCAUAGGCAGGAUUUCCAGUAGCAACAUGCUCCUUGUUUGCCUGUUGGGGUAAAAUAUAUCAAUAUCUUAUGGUGUUCCAUAAAUAACAUGAUGUACGUAUAAAGCACCAACGUGUCCAGGGGCUCUGUCACACAGACAAGUUUGAGGGGCACUACUCUUGGCUACUUCUAAUAUAUACAUGGCCUUUGCUGCUAUUGAGCUUUAUCACUCAUGCACUCCUACAGCUGUUACUCCCAUACUUACUCUUAAUCCUGAUUUUAAAAGUCUUACCACCUUUUCCUUACUAUUGCAUAUCUUUCUCUACUGGAAAACAUAAUGAGGUGUGGUAAAGUGCUUAUGCUUCAGAUUACUUGGGGAACUUGGGAAAUGAGGGUUUCUUCAAUUAAUGAUGGCGUUAUUAAGACUGUAUAGGAGUUCCUAUUGUGGUUCAGUGGGUUAAGAACCCAAAUGCAACAGCUUGGAUCACUGAAGAGGCAUGGGAUCGAUCCCCAGCCCAGCACAGUGGUUUAAAGGAUCCGGCAUUGCCACAGCUAUGGUGUAGGUCACAGCUGUGGCUUGGAUUCAAUCCCUGGCCUAGGAACUUCCAUAUGCCAUGGGUGGGG
rnacentral:lncRNA from 1 species